rnacentral:rRNA from 1 species
UACAGAGGUCCCAAGCGUUGUUCGGAUUCACUGGGCGUAAAGGGUGCGUAGGUGGCGGGGUAAGUUUGAUGUGAAAUCUCCGAGCUUAACUCGGAAAUGGCAUUGAAUACUAUUCAGCUCGAGGUUUGGAGGGGGGACUGGAAUUCUCGGUGUAGCAGUGAAAUGCGUAGAUAUCGAGAGGAACACCGGUGGCGAAGGCGAGUCCCUGGACAACACCUGACACUGAGGCACGAAAGCUAGGGGAGCAAACGGG